AUAAUCAUGUGACACAUUUGGACACCUUGAAUGUGCAUGUACGGAAGCGUACUGCUGUCACAUUUUUCAGGCUAAUUUUUGCUGUUUUCCAGGCUAAUAUUUCCUUGCGUUUAGUUUUUCGGGCUAAUUUUUUCCCCUCUGUUUUUUGAGCAAAUUUUUUUCCUAGUUAUCGGGAUACAUCGAACUCACCCGAGAACCUGUGAAUGACAAGUGACUCCUGACGAAUUUCUUCCAGCUUCAACAGACGCAUUUACCUUAGCGGUCCAAUUCAGGCGCGUCUACAUUCUGUGUUGUAUGAUUGGGCACACGUCCAUUUUUGGACCACGAGAGGAAGAUGGAGUACCUCCAGAAAACCAACACAAGCAUGAGAAGAGGAUCCAAACCCUACACAGCAGAGAAUCCAGAACCUAUCGUCUGUGAAGCAGAUGUGUGAACGAUCAGUCUACUGUGCUGCCCGUGAGGCUUAACACGCAACAGCUCUUUCCGGCUGAGUGCCGACCCCCGUCAAGCGAAGGUCGGACUGAAUAUCCCGUGAUGCCUCUGUCCUGGGCUCCUGGAAGUGGUGGAGGGCAUCCUUGGGGGGGAAGAAGAGGAAUUCUCCUCCCAGUGAUUCAUUUGAACUUUUCCUCUCUUUUAAAUGGCAUCACAGGGACUGGUGUCACCAAAAACUGUUUUCCACAUAAAGUGGAGGCUGGAUGGAUGGAUGUUUAAUAACAGGAAAGCUGUAAUAGGACAAGUGAUGGGCAGGUCUGGCGAAAAGGUGCUUUGAUUAGCAAUCAGGCCCUAUUCAGUGUUUUUCGACCACCAUAAAUGUAGGUGAAGGUGUCUAAUUGUAUGUUUUGAUUGUGCAAACAGGACAAUUGGUGACCCUGUCUUUGUUGUUCAGAUGUUGAUGAAUUCUGGUUCUGUUUGCAUUGGAAUAAUUGUGCUUGAAUAGACAGGGUGAUGCAUAUGCGGAUGGACAAACAGACAUUUAUGUGAAGAUGAAUAGUUUAUGUGCUAUCGUGUCCUGGGGGCAGGUUAGACCCAGAGCAAAUCUAUGAGUGGGAAGGCUGCGUCACUGUGGGUGUAUUUUCAGUCAAUUUCUUUCACUGCCAAUUAAAGCGUCUCCUCCCAUUCCCUUUAAAUGUGGUGUAUCUGACAGUCUCAACGAAAACAUCUCUGUGUGAAAUGUACAAUACAUUAUCGCAGCGAUCUGUGUGCGAGUGGAGCAUCGCCACUGGUGUAGCUGGUGGGGCUACAGACAAUGUGAGCUGGUACACAGACUGAGCUGCUGAUAAACGCUAGCAUCUUGAGAGUUCAGCAUGUCUGCCCACGUCUUGAUCAAAUUCAACAAAUCACAGUUAAAGUGGUCUGAGCAGGCAGAAAUUCAAGCCAACUUUCUACCACCAAAUUGUCACACCACUAGGCGCAUCUCCAACCAUCUCCACAGAACCGGAAUGCCCAAAUUGGCGAACAUGCGCAGCCUUGCGCUUGAAUGAAAAUCCAAGUCCGCCAGCAUUUCCGCCCUGCCUCAGAUAGGCUAUCUACAAAAAUAAAGCCCGAUAUGUGUAUGUGAAUGAACUGAGUAAUUGUUAUGUGUCUUCGAAUAGUUGGACAGACAUUUUCAUUUUCUUUUCAUGCGAAUGGGCUGACAGAUGUUUACAUUACUCUUUGUGUAUAUGUAAAUGGGAAGAAGGAUGCUGCAAUGUUUAAAAAAAAAAAAAAGACAGAGAUCCAUGCAGUUUAGUUGACGGGAUUUUUUUUUAAACUGAAUUAAUUACAAUUGCAAUCACGCUUGUAUCUCGGAAAAGCCUCUACAUGCUUUCCCGUCCCACUGCUAUCUCGAUGGGCGUACAGAGAGAAAUGCCAAUCAA